rnacentral:lncRNA from 1 species
CUGCUGUGUUUGCAGAUUACCCCUGGUCCCCCCCUUGCUCCAGGGACUAACCCUAGCUCCUGCCCCACUGUGUUUUUGCCCCCAGACCCUUUUACAAUCAUUCCCCAGGGGGGCCCACAAAUGUUUGGCGUCGCGCUCACAAAAAGUUAAUCCGGCCCUGUGACUGAUGCGCUGGCUGGUGCCAUGGUCUGGGCGGCUGUGGUGCUCCCCCGUCUUCUGCUGCUCUGGGCCCCGGGGCUGUGGCUGCCCUUCAACUCCCCACUGCCCUUUGACUGCUUGCCGCCCCCAAAAGCCACCCGGAUGGGGGCACCUGGCUCUUGGGGAGUAUCCACCGUGGGCGGCAGGAGCCUGGGGCAGAGUGGGUCUGUUUGGAUUGCCAUGGGGCAUCCUGGACCCUCUGCCUGCUCUGUGCGGUGCAGACAGUGAGUGGGGACUUCUGCGAUGCUGCUGGUGGUGGCACUGUCUUCAGAGCUGGGCAGCCAAAGAGCUAGCCAGUCAGGCUAAUGCAGUGUGUUUCUCUUGCAGCAACAGUGACACCCAGUGGCAAUCAAUGGUACUGCACAGAGUAUGGUGUUUUGCAUGGAGCAACAGUGGCACCUGGUGCACAGUCAAGCUUCUCUUGCAGAGAUGUAAACUGACGCUCUUCCGCUGCGCGGUGUUUCUCGGGUGGGCUCAUUUGAAGAGGCUGUUCCGCAGCAUGACCUGGGUUGGCUCCUCACAGCUACAAAGAAAGACUAUCUGCCAUUACUGCGACUUGUUGUCUGAAACAGUGAAUGAAGAUGGCAUCUCCCGCCUGUAUGAAGCUUUUCAGGAAGUGCCUUUGAAAUCUGACAGGACCACGUGGCACAUCCUCAGUACACAUUACAAGUGGUUGCAGAAGCUUGGAAAUCUUGCGUGGGGUUCUGCAUUCAACUAGGGAACCGGAACCGACACAGAAGACCUCUUUGUCCUGCUAUGCUACGUACAACAGACGUUUAUCAACUCUUUGGAACAGGGGCUGAACGGUGAGGUGGCUAUUUGCAGAUGACACAAAAUUAUGUAGGUUAGUCGAGCCUAGAGAAGACUUUGAAGCAGUUGAAAGAGAUCUAAUAAAGCCAUGUGACUGGGCA